rnacentral:rRNA from 1 species
GAUGAACGCUGGCGGCGUGCCUAAUACAUGCAAGUCGAGCGAACGGACGAGAAGCUUGCUUCUCUGAUGUUAGCGGCGGACGGGUGAGUAACACGUGGAUAACCUACCUAUAAGACUGGGAUAACUUCGGGAAACCGGAGCUAAUACCGGAUGAUAUUUUGAACCGCAUGGUUCAAAAGUGAAAGACGGUCUUGCUGUCACUUAUAGAUGGAUCCGCGCUGCAUUAGCUAGUUGGUAAGGUAACGGCUUACCAAGCAACGAUGCAUAGCCGACCUGAGAGGGUGAUCGGCCACACUGGAACUGAGACACGGUCCAGACUCCUACGGGAGGCAGCAGUAGGGAAUCUUCCGCAAUGGGCGAAAGCCUGACGGAGCAACGCCGCGUGAGUGAUGAAGGUCUUCGGAUCGUAAAACUCUGUUAUUAGGGAAGAACAUAUGUGUAAGUAACUGUGCACAUCUUGACGGUACCUAAUCAGAAAGCCACGGCUAACUACGUG